rnacentral:rRNA from 1 species
AUUGAACGCUGGCGGAAGGCCUAACACAUGCAAGUCGAACGAGUGGCGGACGGGUGAGUAAUGUCUGGGAAACUGCCAGAUGGAGGGGGAUAAAUACUGGAAACGGUAGCUAAUACCGCAUACCAACGGAUGUGCACAGAUUGGAUUAGCUAGGAGGUGGGGUAAUGGCUCACCUAGGCGACGAUCCCUAGCUGGACUGAGAGGAUGACCAGCCCCACUGGAACUGAGACACGGUCCUAACUCCUACGAGCGGCAUCGGUGUGGAAUAUUGCACUAUGGGCGCAAGCCUGAUGCAGCCAUGCCGCGUGUAUGAAGAAGUCCUUCGGGUUGUAAAGUACUUUCAGCGAGGAGGCGUUACUCGCAGGACAAACACCGGCUAACUCCGUGCCAGCAGCCGCGGUAAUAC